CUACACAUGCAGUCGAGCGGUAAGGCCCUUUCGGGGGUACACGAGCGGCGAACGGGUGAGUAACACGUGGGUGACCUGCCUUUAGCUCUGGGAUAAGCCUGGGAAACUGGGUCUAAUACCGGAUAUGACUCCAUAGUGCAUGCUUGUGGGGUGGAAAGCCUUGUGCGGCUAGGGAUGGGCCCGCGGCCUAUCAGCUUGUUGGUGGGGUGAUGGCCUACCAAGGCGACGACGGGUAGCCGGCCUGAGAGGGCGACCGGCCACACUGGGACUGAGACACGGCCCAGACUCCUACGGGAGGCAGCAGUGGGGAAUCUUGCGCAAUGGGCGAAAGCCUGACGCAGCGACGCCGCGUGAGGGAUGACGGCCUUCGGGUUGUAAACCUCUUUCAGCCCUGACGAAGCGAGAGUGACGGUAGGGGCAGAAGAAGCACCGGCCAACUACGUGCCAGCAGCCGCGGUAAUACGUAGGGUGCAAGCGUUGUCCGGAAUUAUUGGGCGUAAAGAGCUCGUAGGCGGUCUGUCGCGUCGGCUGUGAAAACUCGGGGCUCAACCCCGAGCUUGCAGUCGAUACGGGCAGGCUGGAGUUCGGCAGGGGAGACUGGAAUUCCUGGUGUAGCGGUGAAAUGCGCAGAUAUCAGGAGGAACACCGGUGGCGAAGGCGGGUCUCUGGGCCGAUACUGACGCUGAGGAGCGAAAGCGUGUGGAGCGAACAAGAUUAGAUACGCUGGUAGUCCACGCCGUACACGUUGGGCGCUAUGUGUGAGAUCGCUUCCACAGGCUUGUGUGCUGCACCUGAUGUAUUUAGUGACCCGCCGUGGGGAGUACAGACACCAGGCUAAGACACAGAUGAAUCUGACGGGGG
rnacentral:rRNA from 1 species